UACGUAGGGUGCGAGCGUUGUCCGGAAUUAUUGGGCGUAAAGAGCUCGUAGGCGGUCUGUCGCGUCGGUCGUGAAAACUUGGGGGCUUAACCCUGAGCUUGCGGUCGAUACGGGCAUGACUGGAGUUCGGUAGGGGAGACUGGAAUUCCUGGUGUAGCGGUGAAAUGCGCAGAUAUCAGGAGGAACACCGGUGGCGAAGGCGGGUCUCUGGGCCGAUAUUGACGCUGAGGAGCGAAAGCGUGGGGGAGCGAACAGG
rnacentral:rRNA from 1 species